UACGUAGGGGGCGAGCGUUGUCCGGAUUUAUUGGGCGUAAAGGGCGCGUAGGCGGUUCGGUAAGUCCUGUGUGAAAUCCCUCGGCUCAACUGAGGAACUGCACGGGAGACUGCCGGGCUUGAGUUCGGGAGAGGGAAGCGGAAUUCCGGGUGUAGCGGUGAAAUGCGUAGAUAUCGGAAGGAACACCGGUGGCGAAAGCGGCGCUCUGGUCCUCUUCUGACGCUGAGGCGCGAAAGCCAGGGGAGCAACGGG
rnacentral:rRNA from 1 species